AGCUGUGGAAUUGGAAGACGGCAUCUUCGGAUGCAUGACCUUUCCCGUGCUUUUUAGAACAUAGAUCGGAUCAGUCAGAUCACGAUCGAAACGCAAUACGUCGAGUAUGGGUCUGGUUGUCCUUCGAGCGUCAAGCGCGAGGGGCGUUUAGCCAUAUCCGGCUCAGAUAAGGCGAGAGCCGCCGUCCACGUUUCUCUUUCUCACAAGGAUACGAACCACGCCGCAUCAUGUUGCGUGCUUAACGAAUGGGCCCGUAGCUCAGGUGGUUAGAGCGCACGCCUGAUAAGCGUGAGGUCGGCAGUUCGAGUCUGCCCGGGCCCACCAUUCGCUCUGCGAAUGUGUCCUGACGCUGUCGCGAUCUGAAGAUCGCUUCGCUCCGGACGGGCCGCCGAACGAUCGGCGACGGGCCUUGCCCUUGCGGCGCUUGUUGCGCCGACAGGCAUGCUUGACAUGUUCACCGAAGCCGGCGUCGCCGGUCAUCGAAAGAUGGGGCUGUAGCUCAGCUGGGAGAGCACCUGCUUUGCAAGCAGGGGGUCAGCGGUUCGAUCCCGCUCAGCUCCACCAUUCGAUUGGUGUUGAACUGGCGGUAAUUAUCCUUGGAGAAAAGUAGGUUUGCAUCGUCUUUAUGAGACGGAUGCCUGUUCUGCAAAAAUUGUGAAGAGAAGAUAUGUCUGGAAGCUUCCAGGUGUUGAAGGUGAUCGAAAGGUUGCCGGAGACGUCCGAGCCCAGCCCCGAAGAAACCAUGGAUGGUCUAGCCGACCGGAAAUGGCGGAGGGGUUGGAGGUAGGAGGGAAGCUUGUCGUUGAAGGCAUGGAUGUUGUUUGGGUGUCCUUCGGGAUGCCCAUCUGGUGUUCGUGGCUGAUUGGUGUUGCCUGACCGCGCAUCACCGGACAUAUCUCGAGAAGCUGGUCUUAAAGACAGGCUGCAAGUGAACCGCUCGGCGUGGUUCCAAUAAAGCAGGCCUGUCGAACACGUCGAUGGCAUCUGAUUGGCUCGGUUGUAAAAGGUAACCGGGUUUUUGGGCUGGCUGUGCGGGAUACUGAAAGGUGUCCGUAUGGCCAGGUUUGGCUGCCCUGCGAGGCGACAAGCCGAGUAGGAAAGCUUAGCCAGACCCAGAUAAAGAUGAGCAUUGGCAAUGAGAACGAUCAAGUGAAAGAAGGGCAUUUGGUGGAUGCCUUGGCAUGCACAGGCGAUGAAGGACGUGAUACGCUGCGAAAAGCCGUGGGGAGCUGCGAAUAAGCUUGAU
rnacentral:misc_RNA from 1 species